CAGUGCGGCACCUGUCCUGGCAGGCACUGUAUCCACCAGAGGAGAGACCCUCGGCAAACCCUCAGACGGCCAGGAGGGUCAGCGCGGGCACUGGUGCCCACUUGGGGUGAAGACUUGGGUUACUGUCUGCUGGGCCUUGCGAGGGGCUUGGGAGGGUCAUGGGGGCACUGCACUUCCCUGAGCAGGGAGCACGGGGUUAGAAGGGGCAGGGCUGCCGCGAGGGGCUGGAGGCUGGAGGGAGGUUUGGGGUGCCUCUGGUGGGUGAAGCUGGGAGCAGAGACCGUCGCAUUGGGUGUGUCGGAGCCGUUCGAGGGUGGGGGUGCCCAGCACACUGCUGUGCCAGGGACCUUGAACUGGCUGAGCAUGGAAUGGAAAUCUGGGCCUCGGUGCCUGGAGGGGCCUGAGAGCUGGGGUCCUCUGCAGACGUCCUCGGCAGCACCCAGCACAGUCGGGCCUUAGGACUGGAGGUACACAGCGGCCACCCUGAGCUCCCACAGCAGUGCUGUCUCUCAGGCACCUCUCCCUUCAGGAACCCAAGCCCUGAACCCCAACACCCCUGAGCUCGGACCCCAAAUCCAGCCCUGGCCUAGGAGAUGGUGGCCUUUUGGCUCUCCCCACUUUAAGGAAAGCUUUGGGGUGGAAGUGACACUGUGCUCCUUGCUGAGGAAGAGGUUGGGUUCCACAGCAGCAGACGUGCGGGGCCUUGGAAGUUGGGGGGUGGGGAAGCUCCUCUCGAUUAAAUGCUGAGCCUGUCGUUUUCCCCAGGUCAGUGGCCCCGCGUCCCCAACGUGGUGGUGUGCAGCCCCCCCAGGGGCCAGCAGAGGGCGAGCUUGCUUUUCUCCUUUAAGUCCGAAACUGACUCCCGGAGAAUUUAUAGACAUGUGGGAGCCCACUGGCCUCGCCGCUGGUGUGUGGCCGCGUUUGUGGGUGCUGGUCAACACCUUGCUCCACAAGGAAAUACUUCUGUGAGUUGUGACGAAAAUAUACUUUUUGCAAUGCGAAA
rnacentral:lncRNA from 1 species